GGCCUCCCUCUGUGGGGUGAUCAAUCGUGAAGUCUCCUUUGCCCCCAUUGAUCGCCCCGCAGAGGGUGGCU
rfam:Myotis brandtii contig321500, whole genome shotgun sequence.